CCCUCAAGAUGAGAUUUCCCAUACGUAAGUAGUAAGACACCUCAAAGACUAAGAGGUAGAUAGGCUGGGAGUGGAAGAGCCGCGAGGCUUGGAGCGGACCAGUACUAAUCAGUCGAGGACUUGACCAG
rnacentral:rRNA from 1 species